rnacentral:rRNA from 1 species
CCUACGGGUGGCAGCAGUGGGGAAUAUUGCACAAUGGGGGAAACCCUGAUGCAGCGACGCCGCGUGAGCGAUGAAGUAUUUCGGUUCGUAAAGCUCUAUCAGCAGGGAAGAAAGUGACCGUACCUGACCAACAAGCCCUGGACAACUCCGUGCCAGCAGCCACGGUAAUACGUAGGGGGCAAGCGUUAUCUGGAUUUACUGGGGGUAAAGGGAGCGGAGACGGCAUGGCAAGCCAGGGGUGAAAGGCUGGGGCCCAACCCCAGGACUGCAUUUGGAACUGUCAUGCUGGAGUGUCGGAGAGGCAGGCGGAAUUCCUGGUGUAGCGGUGAAAUGCGUAGAUAUUAGGAGGAACACCAGUGGCGAAGGCGGCCUGCUGGACGAUGACUGACGUUGAGGCUCGAAAGCGUGGGGAGCAAACAGGAUUAGAUACCCGAGUAGUC